GUGAGGUAACGGCUCACCAAGGCUCCGACGGGUAGCUGGUCUGAGAGGAUGGCCAGCCACAUUGGGACUGAGAUACGGCCCAGACUCCUACGGGAGGCAGCAGUGGGGAAUAUUGCGCAAUGGCCGCAAGGCUGACGCAGCGACGCCGUGUGUGGGAUGAAGGCCUUCGGGUUGUAAACCACUGUCAGGAGGGACGAAUACCUGGCGGCGAAUAGUCGACCAGGGGUGACGGUACCUCCAGAGGAAGCACCGGCUAACUCCGUGCCAGCAGCCGCGGUAAUACGGAGGGUGCGAGCGUUGUCCGGAAUCACUGGGCGUAAAGCGCGCGUAGGCGGCGGUUUAAGUCACUUGUGAAAUGCCGGGGCUCAACUCCGGACCUGCACGUGAUACUGGAUCGCUAGAGCCCGGUAGAGGCGAGUGGAAUUCCCGGUGUAGCGGUGGAAUGCGUAGAUAUCGGGAAGAACACCAGUGGCGAAGGCGGCUCGCUGGGCCGGUGCUGACGCUGAGGCGCGAAAGCGUGGGGAGCAAACAGGAUUAGAUACCCUGUAGUCCACGCCGUAAACGUUGGGCACUAGGCGUCGGAGAGUACGACCUUUUCGGUGCCGCAGCUAACGCAGUAAGUG
rnacentral:rRNA from 1 species